rnacentral:lncRNA from 1 species
AUUUAUCAUGAUCCGUAAAUGCUAGGAAAAUAUUUUUGGAUUUUUCAAAAGUCAGAAAGUAUUUUAAAAUGAAUUAAAACUAAUAAAGACCAAAUAAUUCACAAAAAAUAUUAAAUGAAGUUACAAAAAUAAUUAAAAACCAAAAUAUGAAACUAGAUUUUUCAAGAUUUUUUUUGGAAUUUGUCUCAUAUUUUUAUGACUUCAAAUAAAUUUUUUAUGAAUUUUUGAAAAUAAAAG